CGAGACUGUUGAGUUGUUUUGCUGCUCUUCAUUACUUUCAUCGUUCAACGUCUGGGUAGGCGCUGGGGCUGGCGGAGGAAGAUGCAUGCCAGACUGGAGUAGCUCCUCAUCAAGUUCUGUUAUGUUGGAGCUCUAAGAACAACACAAUAAGCAAAUUAACAUCAUCAUCUUUGAAGAAACUUGAAAAAGACCCAUCAGUGAUUGAAUCCAACUAAUAAUAAUAUCAAGAAUGAAGAGUUGAUGCCUGGAAUAAACAAGAUCUGCAUAAGAACUGUGAAUGGAACAACUUUAUUAAAUUAAUGCCUCAGUUACACGAUUUAUAUCCUAUAUUGUCACACGGGGAUCACAAAAUAUGUGUUUGAAUGCUUCAUCUUUUACCUAUAAAUGUUAAAUUAUCUCACUUGUAUCA